rnacentral:lncRNA from 1 species
CUUGAACUUUGGACCCUUGAGUUUUGCAUCUGGACCUUCGAUACUGACAUCAGGGGCAUCAAUGUCCACUUUGGGGCCAGAAAUCUCAAUGUCAGCCUUAGGAAGGGUAACAUCCACAUCUGGGCCCUCUCCUUUGAAUCCUGGCAUGCUGAAUUUGGGCAUUUUCACCUUGGGCAUCUUCAGGUGCCAGUCUGGACCCUGAACAUUAACAUCUGGGACAUCAAUGUCCACUUUGGGGCCUUUGAGGUCAACUUCAGGACCUUUCAGAUCUCCCUCUACC